UACAGUCGCUGAUGAUCUUUUCAACUCCAAUACCACACUAUUUCUAGACAAUCAAAUGUGAUAUGCAAGAUAGGCUACAUGGGUCCAUCAAGUAUAGUCGAGUUAGAAGCUGAACUCUGUCGAAGAAACUCCAUAAAGGACUGGGACGAGAUCAUUGUCAAGAUAGUGGUUGCAAGUUGAUCCAUCCGUCGCCAAAUCUGGAUAGCUCUCGGGC
rnacentral:lncRNA from 1 species